GAGAGGAGCAUUGUGUGAGGGUCGAAGCCAGAGCGAGAGCACUGGUGGACUUCACAGAAGAGAGAAUGCCGGUAUGAGUAGCGAGACCCAUGCGAGAAACAUGGGCGUCGAAGGCCCAAGGUUUCCUGGGGAAGGUUCAUCCACCCAGGGUAAGUCGGGACCUAAGCCGAGGACUGAGGUCGUAGGCGAUGGACAGCAGGUAGAGAUUCCUGCACCACUUAUACUUGUUUGACGAAGCAGUGACACAGAAGGAUAGGACGAGCGCGGUGAUGGUCAACCGCGUAGGCGACACGAGGCCGGGAAGCAGUGAAGUGCACUUCCCGCAAAGGCUGAGUGUUGACAGGACCGAAAAGAAGUAGGGAAGCGUCCGAGUUCACGCUGGCGAGAAAAGCUGCUAAGGAGAGUGUGAGUGCCCGUACCGGAAACCGACGCAGGUGGGCGAGGAGAGAAUCCUGAGACGGACGGGAGAACUCUUGUUAAGGAACUCGGCAAAAUGACCCCGUAACUUCGGGAGAAGGGGUGCCUCGAAAGAGGCCGCAGAGAGUAGUCACAAGCGACUGUUUAGCAAAAACACAGGUAUCUGCGAAAGCGAGAGCUGACGUAUAGGUGCUGACGCCUGCCCGGUGCUGGAAGGUUAAGGGGAAGUGUUAGGGGAAACCCGAAGCAGAGAACCGAAGCCCCAGUAAACGGCGGCCGUAACAAUAACGGUCCUAAGGUAGCGAAAUUCCUUGUCGGGUAAGUUCCGACCCGCACGAAUGGCGUAACGACUUGUGAGCUGUCUCAACAGGAGGCCCGGUGAAAUUGAAGUAUGUGUGAAGAUGCACAUUACCCGCGACUGGACGGAAAGACCCCGUAGAGCUUUACUGUAACCUGACAUUGGAUCUUGAUAACGGAUGCACAGGAUAGGUGGGACGCUGGGAGACGAGGACUUUGGUUUUCGUGGAGCGGCCGUUGGGAUACCACUCUUCUGUUAUUGAGAUUCUAACCUCAAGCCGUGAGCCGGAUGAGAGACAGUGUCAGGCGGACAGUUUGACUGGGGCGGUCGCCUCCGAAAGAGUAACGGAGGCGCCCAAAGGUACCCUCAGAAUGGAUGGAAACCAUUCGAAGAGAGCAAAGUCAGAAGGGUGCUUGACUGCGAGACCAACAAGUCGAGCAGGUACGAAAGUAGGGCUUAGUGAUCCGGCGGUGAGAGAGUGGAAUUGCCGUCGCUCAACGGAUAAAAGCUACCUCGGGGAUAACAGGCUGAUCUCCCCCAAGAGUUCACAUCGACGGGGAGGUUUGGCACCUCGAUGUCGGCUCGUCGCAUCCUGGGGCUGAAGCAGGUCCCAAGGGUUUGGCUGUUCACCAAUUAAAGCGGCACGCGAGCUGGGUUCAGAACGUCGUGAGACAGUUCGGUCCCUAUCCAUCGUGGGCGAAGGACACAUGAGAGGAGCUGCUCCUAGUACGAGAGGACCGGAGUGGACGCAUCACUGGUGCAACUGUUGUCGUGCCAACGGCACAGCAGGGAAGCGAAAUGCGGACGGGAUAAACGCUGAAGGCAUCUAAGCGUGAAGCCCACCUCAAGAAUAAGUGUCCCAUUCGAAAGAAGUAAGACCCCUGGAAGACUACCAGGUGAUAGGUCAUCGGUGAAAGAGUGGUAACAUUUGGAGCUUGAUGAUACUAAUCGGUCGAGGACUUGACC
rnacentral:rRNA from 1 species